GGGGGUGGCAGACACGCGGCCGGGAGCGGAAGGAAAAGUGAAGCUGGAGCCCGCCUCAGCCCCGAGGGAUUGUGCUGGGAGCCGCGCACGAGAGAGGUCUCUGUGGGAAUGAGUAGGGAUGAGGUGAGGAGGCUGCCACACAAGGAGACCAUCUGCCUUGACGGAGGAAACACCAACACCGAUUAAGAUAACAGAAGAUUCAUACAUACUGAUGCAAAGAGGUGUUGAUAGCAAGGAGGACUCCCCAACUGCCUAAGUUUCAAGCCCAAAAUCUGGAUCUGCCCCUGAGUAGGAGAGAUAUAAAGGGUCAAAAGGAGGAAACUGAGAGGCCUCGAUCCUGCGUGAAGUCUGCGAUGCCAGCUGACGCCUCUUUGCAGUUGCUGAUCCAGUUUCCGUGGCCUGGUAGGCCAGUGGAGUGCUGUGGACUUUUCACAGGUUUCCCACCUUUCCUUCCACAUUUGCUACGGCUAUUAAUGCUGCCCCAGCAACAGCUGUCUGCCGGAAGACUGAACUGGUCUGCAGCGUGACGUCCGAUAGGAGUAAGUAUGGCGGCAGGUAAAAGGUAAGCAGAAUGAUCAGUGUCAGAGAGUGUUCAGUGGAAUGUGAGAGGAUGUUGCCUCUGGAAUUUAUACAAGAACUUGGGCAGGGUAGAUGAGGCAUUAUUAUAUAAGUGGUAGUGGAUCUAAACUUGACCGGUGGUGACUACUGAAUUUCUAUGCAGGUGGUUAUCUGCAAACGGAGUUUGCCGAGCUAGAUCCAUCUUUUAUUUGAACUCUAUGUUACUUGGGAUGGCUUGCAGCAAGAGGCCUGCUGACGAAAACUAGGUAGGAUAAGGGUGGAACACAGCACCAACUUGCCCACACCAUUCCAGGAAGCAUGGCCUGAGCCCUGGAUGCCUUGUGCCAGCCUGCAUUAGCUAUUGGUGACAUUUGCCGCUGAAUUAUAUAGCUUGUUUUGUUUCACUAGUUCCUUAAAAUGGACCACCAAAAACUUAAGAACUUUAAAGUGUGUAUAAAAACAAAAGGUUGAAAACCACAAAAACAUAAGGAAACUCUUUUGAGUUCAAAUGUAAAGUAUAACUGUGUUUGGAAUAAUUAAUCUCUGAGUCCAUGCAUGGUUCUCUAUUCUGAAGUAAACGGUGGAGUUUGCAAGGUCAUUCAGUGCCCAUUCUUUUAUCACACACCUAGUAGGUCCAGGCAUUGUGCCUGCAGCUGGGCAUUCAAAGAACAAAAUGCAGGUAAUGGAGCUUUUUAUCUUAGUCAAGACCCCAAAAAACUAUAAUAUAUGGUAAAUGCUUUGGGAAAGACAUGGCUAACCAGAAUGAGAGUAUUUGACUCCAUUCUGGAAAGGACAGUAUGGAAAAGAGCUUUUGGUUUUUUAUGGAAGUAGAAUUACUGCCUAAGAGAAAAGGAAUGGGAGAUAGAAAUUAUGGCACGGUGAGAAUGAAGGUUAAUUGCUUAUUUCCUCCUCUGGGAUGCUUUUGUAAAGCAUGUAAUUCUUUUAUCUUCAGGGAUCUGACAUGUUUUAAUUAAUUUAUACUAACAUCCUAGUGUUCUAAUAUUUUUUUUCUUGUGAUGGAAAAAAUAUACUUUAUGAGUGGCUUGGGGCCAUAAUGGGAACAAACACUGAGAAGGGUGGAAAAGAUGUUGACGGCAGCUGAAAACUUUUCUGUUUCACUUCACGAUUUUGCCUAAAAUCAGCUAAGAUGGCAUCCUCUUACCUCUAUUCUAUUUUUAACAAAUGUUCUGCUUCAUUUUAAAAAGUU